CAAGCAGAGUGGCUGUGGUGAGCACAGGCUUUAGAGCCAGACAGACAGACAGCAAUCCUGUAUUAUGUCAUUAAUCACUGGUGGAUUGACAAAACUACUCAAUCUUUCUGAGUCUCAGUUUCCUCAUUUAUGAAAAGGCGGAUUGCAAACCUUGAAAGGCCAAUCCUUCAAGAUGAAUCCUGACUGGGUGACUGGGCCUAAAUUCAGUAAGAGCCAAGUGACCAUUUGCUGACUAGAGGUCACAUACGUGUUCUGAGUUCCAUGAAAACCUGCAUGUCUGCAUAACUUUGAGACUUUCAUAGUUGCCUGUAGAUGCCAGGAAGCCUCAGGUAAGCCCUCUUGAAUUCAGACCUCCCAUGCCUUUUUUUUUUUUUUUUUUUUGAGAUGGAGUUUCACUCUUGUUGCCCAGGCUGGAGUGCAGUGGCAUGAUCUCGGCUCACUGCAACCUCUCCCUCCUAGGUUCCAGUGAUUCUUGUGCCUCAGCCUCCAAAGUAGCUGGGAUUACAGGCGUGUGCCACCAUGCCCAGCUAACUUUUGUAUUUUUAGUAGAGACGGGGUUUUGCCAUGUUGGUCAGGCUGGUCUCAAACUCCUGACCUCAGGUGAUCCACCUGCCUUGGCCUCCCAAAGUGCUGGGAUUACAGGUGUGAACCACCGCGCACUUCUCCCAUGCUUUUGAUCUAAGCCUCAGAGCCUUUAUUUAACCUCCUCAGCCAGUCCUCUUCAUCUGGACCCUGAAAGAGACCUCCCCAGGAAGGGGGGCCUCUCCAUCUGGUUUGCAGAGGUGGCCUCUUCAUAAGGUUGCAGACCCAGCUGUUCCAUCAGGUUUUGUGAGGACACUCUAAGGUGCGCUAGAGGGAUGCCUUCAUCAGCUUAGUGCAAUGGGUAACCCGUGAUUUCUGUGUUUCCCUGAUGAUCAGCUGCCCUCUGGCACUCCAACUGGCUUUAUGAGCAAAAAUUAUGUUCCAGAGAGUUGUAAUUGGCUAGGUCUCUGGACAAAAAUUACCUGGGAUGAUCUAAAAACUUUGUUGGCCAAGAUGGGGUUCUUUUGAAAUUCUAAAACUUGCCUAUCUGUGCUCACAAUUAGAACAAAGAAAACACUGAACUUCCCAGAGAUAAUGAAAAGCCUUUUCAAGUUGGUACUUUUAGAGUUUCGAAUAAAAUCAAGAGCUACUAUGCUUCCCUUAAAGAAAGCAAUUCCAAAUUAGGCAAACAUCUUAAUGAAUUAAAAAGAGAUUAGCACUUGGGAGACUGAAACUAAAGCUGCAGAAAAACCUAAGACCCUUCUUCUGCUAGCUCACCUCUCCUGUCACCUUGCCUGUCUGCUGCAUCUUUUACAAGGCCUCUACUUUACCUUUCACUCCCUCCUUCCUCUUUCACGCUUUCUGAAUUCCUCUUUUUCUCUUCUGACAUUUCCACUUCCUCCAGACUCAGCCCCUUUUAAGGCCCAAAUAAUGGGGAGUAGAAAUUGGCAAAUUCCACGCUCCUUAGUCCAUGUCAGAACUUUUGGCCCUAGUAAAACAUUUCCCUAGUCCCUUGAAGACUAACUUCCUUGAAUUUGAGUAACAUUGUAGCCUAAUCAUUAGGGCUUAUCAAUCUUGAUCAGCUGUUAGCUGCUGAAUGGGAAAGACUCUGAGGACUUUAAAUAAGCCCAAAUGCUUUUCAAGUUCAUGUGACUUUAGUCAACUUUUGGCAACUAACACUAGUUUAAUACUGUUUGUUUAAUAAAAGUAACAAGAUCUUCUGAGUUAUCAGCAAAAUAUGCAUGUAUUUAAUGUUAAGAUUCUUGCUUUCAUGAUAUGUGCCUAACAGACAAGUAAUGUAGAAAUGGUUAAUAGAAAAUUUAACUUGAGAUGAUGGCUAGAAUUGUCUAACGUCUCAUGGAAUUUUCCAAAUUGUUAAGAAUGAAUACAUUAAGGCCAGGAGCUGUGGCUCACGCCUGUAAUCCCAAAAAAUUGCAAGAGGUUUUGAUUUUUUAAUUCUGAAAUCUGUUUUUUAACAGCCACCCUCUGAACUACAACAGUUUCUAUUUCUGCCACAUGUGGAGGUUGCAGUGAGGCGAGAUCGCGUCAUUGCACUCCAGCCUGGGCGACAGAGCAAGACUCCGUCUCAAAAAAAAAAAAAAAAAAAAAAGAAAUGCAGCUCUUCUUUCUAACCUUGAAAAGGUCUAUCUUUUUGCGCAGGAGGAUCACUUCAGCCUAGGAGUUUGAGGCUGCAGUGAACACACCACUGUACUCCAGCCUGGGUGACAGAUCGAGACCCUGUCUCUAAAAAAAAGGAAAACUGGCCAGGCAUGGUGGGUCACGCCUGUAAUCCCAUCUACUGAAAAUACAAAAAUUAGCUGGGCAUGGUGGCGUGUGCCUGUAGUUCCAGCUAUUUGGGAGGCUGAGCUCAGCAGGAGAAUAGCUUGAACCUGGGAGGCGGAGGUUGCAGUGAGCCGAGAUCAUGCCGUUGCACUCCAGCCUGGGCUACAAGAAUGAAACUCUGAAACUCCGUCUCGGAAAAAAAAAAAAAAAAAAAAAAAGAAAACUGAGUAGUGACCUGUGAUUCUGUUUUGAUCAAGUAUUUUGAACCGUUUUACAUAUUUGGUGGGUUUUCCCCAGGAACAAGAUUCUAAAUUAAGUAUUUUUGAUCUAAAAUUAACUUUAGGAUUUGCCAGUAGGGUCCCUGGAGAGCAUCAAAUAAUGUAUUUUUCAUCUUGUAGAGAUAUUAAAUGAUUAGGCUUAUUGGGCAAGUCAUGUGGGAAGCAUUAUCAAACAAGAAAUAGUGUUUAAUUUCUUUUAAGUUAUAUUUGUAUAAUGCAUUAUUCAUAUAUGUUCCAAAAUUAUAUGUGAUUCCUAAGAUUCUGAUCUGUUAUGAUAUGUACCAUCAGUCAUGAUUUUGAUUAUUAUUAACUUGUAUGUCACAGCUUUGAGAAUCUUAUGCCUCCUGGGUGUCUUAUGCCACUCUGGGGUAGUUCCAUAUAUUCCACUAUUUAGACACGCCAUGGGACUCACUGCCUUGCUGGACUCUUUAUAAUCCCCUCUUUUUACACCAUAGUGACCAGCUUCCCUAAUGUGCUCAGUUGCUUGGUACUCCUGUUUGAUCCACUUGCUGUUGCCUAUUGGGUGCAUAUUCAUGCUCCUGAGGUUCAUCCUUGUUUUCUCCUCACUGGUAUAUCCCAUAAAUACCUUCCUAUUACCCUACCUUGCAUUUCCUCCCCUUCUUCUGAAUACUCACCACCCCCCUCCUCUGUGUCUUGCCAAAUCCCAUAGAAACAGAACACUUAGUAACACUUCUCUCUGCAUGUAAACAGCUCCUUGAAUUUUCAUAACCUCUCAGGAUAAUUACGUGCCCCUUCAGGCUGUGUUUUUGGCUGCAGCUACGUCAGCCAAAAAGAGUUUUUCUACCCCUGCCUCGGGUCCUGAGAAAACACAGGCAUUUGCUUUCUGGGUCAAGCCAUUGCUCCUGUCACUGUUAUUAAGUCUCUAACUCAGGGAAUGUAGAGUCUACAUCCCAGGGCCAAAAGAGCUCUACCAAUAAUUGAUGACUAUGCUGGUGAUAGCCCCUUUAGGUAGGUGCUGAGGACUUGUUGGCUGUGAUUUUGAUGAUGAUCUCAGCAGUGAUGCUAAUGACAACUCCUUUGUGUCAUCCUACUGUACCAUACUUCCAUGUCACACCUGAAGUCAAAUGGGUAAUACUAUAUACAUUCAUUCAUUCUCAUAUAUGCACCGAAGGGUGGUAUAUGGCUUUGCUCUUUUAUUCUGCCGUGGUUUUCCUCAGCUCCUUGAAAUUGGAUCCACUGGUAUGCCCCACCUUCUGUUUGAGGCUGAAUCCAAACUCUAAUACCUAUAUCACUCUGGGACUGUAUUAUGACUUGAAGACAGACAGACAGAAACACACACACACAGAGGGAGAAAGAGAGACAGAGAGAGAGGGAGAGAGACAGAGAAAGAGAGAGACGGAGAGAGAGAGAGACAGACAUAGAGAAAGAAAGAUACCAGAAGCUAGGAGAGGUGCCUGCAACAGAUCCUUCUGUAGCACCUUCAGAGGGAGCAUGGCUCUUCUGACACCUUGAUCUUGAACUUCUAGCCUCCAGAAUGGUGAGACAAUAAAUUGCUGUUGUUUAUAUGCUCGUUUAUGCUACUUUGUUACAGCAGCUGUAGGAACUAACACAGGGUAUAAUGAAUUGACAACUCUGGGCAUAGUUCCCAGGGGCUUGGUUGCAAUGGCUGGGCUCCCUGAGUCACCCCGAAGUCUCUCACUGCCAGGAAUCCCAGAGUUUGGACCUUAGAGAGAUCCCCCAGUUUCCCAUGUUGGCUUUUUCUGAAUUCAUUCAGGGCAGAUGGGUUGCUUGCCUAACCAUCUAGUUUCUCCUGGUAAGAGAGCAAAGGAAAGAUUUUUCUUUUAUAGUGAAAGAUCCCAUCCAGGUUCCACUCAGGUCCACUUAGUCAAAUAAAGGAUUCAAACUUGCUUAGUUCUGACGGGUUCAUGUUUGGUGAGUUCUGAUUGGUCAAUACUUGCUGAGUUCUGAUUGAUUGACAUAGGUCACAGCCUAUUGGUUGGCUCAGGCAGCACAAACAUGAACAGGCAGCUAUGGAAGCCCCUAAGUUAAGCAGACAUGCAGGUUUUCCAGCUUAAGCGAAGCUCCCUGAAACCAGAUCCUGCUUGGGCGUCUACAGCCUGAAAGGCAGAGCCUCUUGUGUAUGUGAAACGUGAUUGUCUGCUGCUGGGCUUUUAGGUGCCCAGCCUCUGCCUGGCUUCCACAUGUGCCCGCCCGCACUCUGUGCCCAUGCCUCCCCAUCAGACUUGUACACUGACCCCUUCGGAAAUGAGCGCCUGGCCUGCCCUUAUGGACAUUGCUUGGAUCACUUGUUGCCCUGUUCUGGCCCAGCAGUGUCACUUCUGCCAGACCCCAACUU
rnacentral:lncRNA from 1 species